rnacentral:rRNA from 1 species
GAACGCUAGCGACAGGCUUAACACAUGCAAGUCGAGGGGCAGCACAGGUAGCAAUACCGGGUGGCGACCGGCGCACGGGUGAGUAACGCGUAUGCAACUUACCUAUCAGAGGGGGAUAACCCGGCGAAAGUCGGACUAAUACCGCAUGAAGCAGGGGCCCCGCAUGGGGAUAUUUGCUAAAGAUUCAUCGCUGAUAGAUAGGCAUGCGUUCCAUUAGGCAGUUGGCGGGGUAACGGCCCACCAAACCGACGAUGGAUAGGGGUUCUGAGAGGAAGGUCCCCCACAUUGGUACUGAGACACGGACCAAACUCCUACGGGAGGCAGCAGUGAGGAAUAUUGGUCAAUGGCCGAGAGGCUGAACCAGCCAAGUCGCGUGAGGGAUGAAGGUUCUAUGGAUCGUAAACCUCUUUUAUAAGGGAAUAAAGUGCGGGACGUGUCCCGUUUUGUAUGUACCUUAUGAAUAAGGAUCGGCUAACUCCGUGCCAGCAGCCGCGGUAAUACGGAGGAUCCGAGCGUUAUCCGGAUUUAUUGGGUUUAAAGGGUGCGUAGGCGGCCUUUUAAGUCAGCGGUGAAAGUCUGUGGCUCAACCAUAGAAUUGCCGUUGAAACUGGGGGGCUUGAGUAUGUUUGAGGCAGGCGGAAUGCGUGGUGUAGCGGUGAAAUGCAUAGAUAUCACGCAGAACCCCGAUUGCGAAGGCAGCCUGCCAAGCCAUGACUGACGCUGAUGCACGAAAGCGUGGGGAUCAAACAGGAUUAGAUACCCUGGUAGUCCACGCAGUAAACGAUGAUCACUAGCUGUUUGCGAUACACUGUAAGCGGCACAGCGAAAGCGUUAAGUGAUCCACCUGGGGAGUACGCCGGCAACGGUGAAACUCAAAGGAAUUGACGGGGGCCCGCACAAGCGGAGGAACAUGUGGUUUAAUUCGAUGAUACGCGAGGAACCUUACCCGGGUUUGAACGCAUUCGGACCGAGGUGGAAACACCUUUUCUAGCAAUAGCCGUUUGCGAGGUGCUGCAUGGUUGUCGUCAGCUCGUGCCGUGAGGUGUCGGCUUAAGUGCCAUAACGAGCGCAACCCUUGCCACUAGUUACUAACAGGUAAAGCUGAGGACUCUGGUGGGACUGCCAGCGUAAGCUGCGAGGAAGGCGGGGAUGACGUCAAAUCAGCACGGCCCUUACAUCCGGGGCGACACACGUGUUACAAUGGCGUGGACAAAGGGAAGCCACCUGGCGACAGGGAGCGAAUCCCCAAACCACGUCUCAGUUCGGAUCGGAGUCUGCAACCCGACUCCGUGAAGCUGGAUUCGCUAGUAAUCGCGCAUCAGCCAUGGCGCGGUGAAUACGUUCCCGGGCCUUGUACACACCGCCCGUCAAGCCAUGGGAGCCGGGGGUACCUGAAGUCCGUAACCGCGAGGAUCGGCCUAGGGUAAAACUGGUGACUGGGGCUAA